CUUGUAGGACAUCUGCAGGUAUUUAUUUGAAUUUUGUUGAAUUGUUCUCAUCAAUAUGAGAAGAGAGCAGGCUGAAUGGAAGAAAGUCAUUAUGACCACUGGGGCCACUAGGGGGUGUCCAGAGAAGGUAACUACUUUGCCCACGUCCUAAACUGGGCUUCCCUGGUGGCGCAGUGGUUGAGAGUCUGCCUGCCGAUGCAGGGGACGCGGAUUCGUGCCCCGGUCCGGGAAGAUCCCACAUGCCGCGGAGCGGCUGGGCCCGCGAGCCAUGGCCGCUGAGCCUGCGCGUCCGGAGCCUGUGCUCCGCAACGGGAGAGGCCACAACAGUGAGAGGCCCGUGUACCGGAAAAAAAAAAACAAAACAAAA